rnacentral:rRNA from 1 species
GAACGCUAGCGGCAGGCUUAACACAUGCAAGUCGAGGGGCAGCAUGAGACGGAGAUUCGUCAAAGUCUUGAUGGCGACCGGCGCAAGGGUGCGUAACGCGUGAGCAACUUGCCCGUUUCUGGGGAAUAACCGGUGGAAACGCCGUCUAAUACCGCAUAUAUGGUUUGGAGGCAUCUCUAAAAUCAGGAAAGAAUUAUCGGACAAGGAUGGGCAUGCGGGACAUUAGGUAGUUGGGGGUGUAACGGACCACCAAGCCGACGAUGUCUAGGGGUUCUGAGAGGAAGGUCCCCCACACUGGAACUGAGACACGGUCCAGACUCCUACGGGAGGCAGCAGUGAGGAAUAUUGGUCAAUGGUCGGAAGACUGAACCAGCCAAGUAGCGUGAAGGAUGAAGGUUCUAUGGAUUGUAAACUUCUUUUAUACGGGAAUAAAACCUCCCACGUGUGGGAGCUUGUAUGUACCGUAUGAAUAAGCAUCGGCUAACUCCGUG